ensembl:lncRNA
CACAAACACACACUGGGCUGGAAUAGUGUGAGCUGUGAGUUCUGGAUUGAGUCCCAGGUUAGAGGACGUCUCCUUCUGAUCGCCUCAACCAUCUGCUGCUGGCCAGACGGACCACACCACUGGAGGUAUGCCUGGAAGAGAGAAGGAUAGAAGGAGAAAGAAAUAGAGAAAUAAUGAGGGAAAGGGCAUUCGGAGGGAGAAGGAGAGAGGGGAAGGGCUCAAACUAGAGAUAAGCGAGCAAGAGAAAGUAGAAGAGAUAGCAUGGAAACCAGACAGAGUGUGAGAUGGAGUGGGGGAAAAAAAAGAAAAGGAGAUGAGGGCUGGCCUGGGCAAUGUUGGUGUAAUCAGCAGGGACACGGGUCGUCUGUUACCUGUCUACCUCCAACCUCUUCCGUCUGCUCAAGGGAGAGAGAGGAUACAGUGAUGAAAUGAGGGAAGAUGAUAUAGAGGGGGCAAUGAAAGCAGGAACAUGGGGAACUCUAGGAAUUAAAAAUAGAAGUGAAGUAAAAAUUGAGAAAAAAAAAAAACAGAAUAGCACAGCUAAAUAGACCAAUACAUCUUCUGUACACAUCAAUUCAUUGAGGAGAGAGAGAGAGAAGGCCUGAGAGUCGGGCGAGAGAGAAACACAAAGUCAGGUGAAAGGGAGGCUAAAUGAGAUUGAGAUGGAGAGGCUGGUAUAUUCUCAGUGUGUGCAUGGAUAAUAUAGGAUUUUAAUUGGGGAAGUGUGUGUUCUUGGUUGAAGGCAGACGGUGCACAUAUGCUGACGCAGAGAGUUUCAGCAGAAAAUUAGGUUUGAAACAAGAGGGAAAUAAAAGCUAGAGAGACAUAGCAAAGGAGAUGGCGAGAUACGUAUGAACCGCUUAACUUCAGGACAAAGAAACAGGCCACUUUGCAAGGAUAUUACUUCACAGCCAUAUUUUCAGGCUCUAUAACGUUCCUGUCUGAAUUCUGGAAGGAGCUGCAACAUCAGACAGUCUUCAGGCUGAGGAAGCAACGGCAUGAGAUGUAUGUCAAGACUGUAGAAGUGCAGGCCACAAUCAAGCCCUUUUUAGGUGUCUCAAUUUUCUCCUCCCAUAUGACCCUACUAAUGAGCUCCCUUCCUCUGGCCUGGGCAGGUAUGUCUGUUGGGGUCUGGCUGUCCUCAAAUAGAGGUGGACCGGGCACUCUGUGGUCAUUUGGUCCUCCCCAAUCUUGAGUCCCAUUCAGUACUCAAAGGGACACACAUGAGGAUUUGAUGGAUUUGGGCUGCAGGCAGACCCUGAUCCACCGAGUCCUGAUUCAAGACAUUGGCAUUGGAUGAUGGCUGGGAGGUGAAGUUGCGAUAUUUAACGGGAUGUGCACACUUAUCCUCUCAUGCCAAUCAAAAUUGAAUACAAGGGCCAAAAAUAAAGAAUGACAGAGAGACACAUCCUUCUGUCCCCCUUGAGCCCCCCUUAGAUUUACCUUUAUGCAUGCCUUCAAUCAAGUCACAAUUAACAGGCUCAUGUUAACGUUCACAUAUUUUUAAAGACAUUCUGACAUUUAAUACACAGUAUUAAGAGUGGUUGUAUCCGGUGAGUCAGGACACCUAAACUGAUGAAAUUCUGACC